GCAGCUUUAGCUCAGUUGGGAGAGCGCCAGACUGAAGUUACCACCUCAGUCACCAAUAUCUGGAGGUCACCCGUUCGAUCCGGGUAAGCUGCA